rnacentral:rRNA from 1 species
AUUGAACGCUGGCGGCAGGCCUAACACAUGCAAGUCGAACGAGUGGCGGACGGGUGAGUAAUGUCUGGGCAACUGCCCGAUGGAGGGGGAUAACUACUGGAAACGGUAGAUAAUACCGCAUACAAUCGGAUAGACCCAGAUGGGAUUAGCUAGUAGGUGGGGUAACGGCUCACCUAGGCGACGAUCCCUAGCUGGUCGGAGAGGAUGACCAGCCACACUGGAACUGAGACACGGUCCAGACUCCUACGGGAGGCAGCAGUGGGGAAUAGUGCACAAUGGGCGCAAGCCUGAUGCAGCCAUGCCGCGUGUAUGAAGAAGGCCUUCGGGUUGUAAAGUACUUUCAGCGGGGAGGCGUUACCCGCAGAAGAAGCACCGGCUAACUCCGUGCCAGCCGCCGCGGUAAUAC